rnacentral:rRNA from 1 species
UACAGAGGGUGCCAGCGUUGUUCGGAAUCACUGGGCGUAAAGCGCGUGUAGGCGGUUUCCUAAGUCAGGUGUGAAAUCCCCCAGCUUAACUGGGGAAGUGCGCCUGAAACUGGGAGGCUUGAGUAUCGGAGAGGGUAGGGGAAUUCCCGGUGUAGAGGUGAAAUUCGUAGAUAUCGGGAGGAACACCGGUGGCGAAGGCGCCUACCUGGACGAUAACUGACGCUGAGACGCGAAAGCGUGGGGAGCGAACAGG